rnacentral:lncRNA from 1 species
UAAUUACCUCUUGGCUUUUGAAAAAGGAAGGGGGAAGCGGGAAGACAAAGGCGCCUGUGAGCGCGGAGGACGCUCUCCUGGGACUCUGGCCUGGAGCGGGACUGCAGCCUUGCGUGCGGCGAGGGCGCUGCGCUACUCAGGGCUUCCGCGAAGCCAGGGGCAGCGCGGCCGCGUGCAAAUUAAGUACUCAUGUCACCGUGUUAGCUAUGGUGGCUUGAAAGAAAUGCUUUGUAGCCCUCUAAAGGCAGGCUGAUCGGAAGAACUGGAAGAUUGCAAAGAUAAAAAGGAACUCUGGCAGAGAAGGGGGGCAAGAGGUGCUGGAGGAAAAAAGUGAAAAAGAAAAUAACAGUGGUGAUGUCAAGACUUGUCAGAGAAAAGUGCAUUGUCAGGUGUACCCAUGUGUGGGUGUGUCCAUGUGGUGUGCCUGCCUUGCUCCAGAAUAAGCCUCCAUAGGUUCCCAUGGCAGUGGACAUGUUUGGUAAACUUGUAAGGUGACAAGGAAAAUUGAUCAAGUUACGUUAAGAGGAAAAAAGGCAUUCCAGGCCACCAUAUCCUUAGUCACGUAGGCUACUACCAGGUCACUUCUAUAGAGGGAGAAUGCCGAGCCAAUUUGUCUGCAUCAUUUCUAUGGCAUGAAUCAAAGUUGUAUUUGUGUCCAUCAGAAUAGAGACUUUAUGCUGGAGGAAAAUCACCCAUGAGCCCCAGGGAAGGCAGUGAUUUGACACAAUGAUGUUGAAAGUCAAGAGUGCUCAGCAUGAAAUGCCCCAGCGAUGACAGCAGGAUUAACCAUCAGUGUGAAGACAGAAUGGGUGUGCCUGUUGAUGAAAGGCGCUUGGACACAGAGGCAGCCCUUCCCUGGCUCUUCUGAGGAUGUCUGCUGGAUGGAGAACAGUCAGAACACCUAUGGAUCUGAAGCUUAACCAAAGUGGAGAUUGAGCAGCUGUGGGAAGUCAUAAGUAAAUCACAUUUACAACUCAGCUGGUUGUACAGAUGCAGUUUGGAAAAUUUGGAAGCUGGUUUUAUAUAUUGUAUCAUUCUCUUUUGAGAAAAGUUGGAUAUUUCUGCUUGGAGUGUGUCAAUGGAUUCCAAAGUGAAUUUGAAAAAAAAAAUCUAGAAAUGAUAGGAAGUGGUAUGCUCUUCAUCACCAUCAUCAUUUUCUUAUGAGAGCACUUAAAUGUAUAUAUUUUGAAGAAAUUUCAGUAGAUACACCCACAGUCAUUUCAGGUUGAUGAACCAUGCUCUUGAAGCCUCAGCGCAAUUGCCAGAGCACUAAGAUGGAGAAACAAUAGACGUUUUCUUUGGAAAGAACAAUUAAAGGUGAUUGAUCACAAAUUCUUUGUCUUACACGCAGCUUAUGUUUUCUUAAGCUGUGUCAGCCUGGAGAUUAAAAGAAGGUUCAAUUAAAAACACAGAAGAGUAGCUGUCUGUCUUUGUCCCUAUAGCUUUGCAGAAGGCCUCCUUCUCAGGCUCUCCCCAUCCUUCCCAGAGUCCUGGGUGGGGGCUUGGGGUCUCUCACGGCCUAUCCAUCUUGGUGGCACUGUUAUUGUCUUUUUCCUCCUUUCCUGGCCCCAAGCCAGGCCUCUGGUAGUCACCAUUGCUGCCAAACAUGCUGUGCAAGUUGCCAAAGCCAUUGCAAAGCUUGUAUGAUGUUCUUGAAGGGUGGUGUUCCUUCUGGCUUCUUUUCCUGUGUACAUGCAGACCCAUUUUGCUUAGACUCUAGUGUCCAUGCUCCCAUGGGCUCCAAUCCUCUGCAGGUAGAGAACAUCUCACUGCCAGAUAUGUCUUCUUCUCUUCCACAUGGAUUGCUGAGCACAACAGCCAUAAGGCCUCACUACCUUUACCCAGCCCUAUGCUGUAUAAAUUUGUUUUAAUCCCCCACCCUAGGGUCUGGAAAUCAGGCCACGGGGCCCAAGAAGAAAAUAUUAAUACGAAUGACAGAUACUGUGCUCAAUGCAAAAUAACCUUUCUUCUUUGACACUGAAGCACUUGUCUUCAGA